ACCUUCCGCUGAACUAUCGUAUUGGAGACCUUGGCCCGUAUUCUCCUAGUGCCUUACUUUUAGUAUUAAAGUGCGCAAUAUAUAGUGCUAUUUAGAUGAUGGUACGAUUGUGUCCUUUCUUGUUUCCUUUCUUACAUGUAAAUACAUCGAAGAUGAUUAGUUCAUGUACCUUGCGGUGCAUGAACUAAUGUGUACCCGCAGCAUCCCUGGGUUUGACGCAUCAUUGAAUAAAUUGAGCAUAGACAUAUUUAGGACAUUGUCAUUGAUUUUCUUUCAAUGUAGACACAUCUCAAUACUGACAAACUAGGUGGUUCACGUAGUUAGAAUACCUGUUGUUUGUUGAUAUUUAAAAAAAAAAUACACUGUAUGAUUAUUAUUUUUUCAUAAAAAGAAUAAAUUAAAAAUAUUGUCAAUUUAGCUCUAGAGGAGGUAUGAAUUAAAAAAAAAAAAAAAAAAAAAAAUUCUUAUUAAAUAAACAUUUCAGUCGGUAUUGAUUUAUGGAUUGAAAUAAAAUGUUUGUAUGGUUCAGUGUUUUAAAAAGUAAAGAUUAGGGCUGUCGAGUAAUAACAAUAAUGUAGUAAUAACGGUACAUUAAUAUUACAUCAAGAGAGAGAUAUAUAUAUAUAUAUAGUAUAUGUAACUAUAUAUAUAUAAAUAUAUACAGAGUUUAACCUAACAUUUUGACAUUUACAUAUAUUUAUGAUUUUCAUUUAUACUUUUUAACGUAAAUAUAAACAAGGUAAAAAAGAUGUUAACGUUUGACAAAGCAAAUAUAGCGAUCUCUCCUCUUCCAGCUGAAAUCAUUUUAACUUAAUAUAAUAGCAUAAUCACAAUGUACACUCUACAUUCACAUAUUGAAUCUACGACAAUAAUGUGAGUGCGACACUAUUAAUUUUAUGAGACCUGUUUUCUUUCUAACAAUUUCCACAGUUUUAAAAACUUAAAACAAAAUUAUCGCAGUCUAUGAUAUAUAUAUAUAUGUGUGUGUGUGUGUAUGUAUGUGUGUGUAUGUAUGUAUUUGGACUAUACAAGAUUAUAUAACAAAAGUAUAACUUGUAUUAUUCUAUCAGUCACUUGCACGAUUUAAAUUAGAAUAAUGAUCAAGCUGAGGUGCUACUGUAAACAUGCUUGGACCUUCUCAAUCCAUUCUUGUGCAGUUGCUGCGUCACCAGCACAAAAAUUGUAUGUCCUUCGAUUUGUACGGAGCUAAAAAUAUGAAGAAACAUUUAAAAUAUCAUGUAAUAUAUAAGAAGAAUGUUAUUUGUAUGCUUUACAUCAAAAAAUGAUUUGUCAUCUGUUUUCUUUGGCGGCCCUGGCAUUGGUGCAGCUGGAGUAACAGACACAACUUCUGCCAAAUCUGUAAUGUUAAUAUAUUUGGAUAAAUUCAAUAAAAUUUAUUAAUCGUCCAUAAA